rnacentral:rRNA from 1 species
UACAUGGGGUGCAAACGUUGCUCGGAAUUAUUGGGCGUAAAGCGCGCGUAGGCGGUUACUUAAGUUGGAUGUGAAAGCCCUCGGCUUAACUGAGGAAGUGCAUCCAAAACUGAGUAGCUAGAGUACGAAAGAGGGUCGCGGAAUUCCCGGUGUAGAGGUGAAAUUCGUAGAUAUCGGGAGGAACACCGGUGGCGAAGGCGGCGACCUGGGUCGAGACUGACGCUGAGGCGCGAAAGCGUGGGGAGCAAACAGG